UUACUUCAGUAUCAGGCACUGCCAGUUAAAAAAUGGGGCAACCUGCAAAAGAGUGUGGAAGCUCUAACCAAAAUCCUCUACACAGAAUGUGAUUUUUGAUGGAAACACACGGAUUCAAGUGGAAGACUUCCAGCCAAAAUCCUGAGAGAUAUAGGAGAGGCGAGUGGCAGCUCCAGGUAUUAUGCUGACCUGUGCUGUCAAAGUCUCUCCACGUUGCUCUCGCAUGCAGUUGGAGAUCCCAUGGCCACGACAAGCCACAGCCCUUGGAAACAUGCUGUACUGACCCACCAGGUGGCUCCCAAGCUACAUCUUUAGAGAACCUACCAGGUCCUGAGGCUUGUGUUCCAUCACUGUCCUCUUCACUCACCAGAAAGGUCAAUCCUAGAAUCUUCUGGCACAACUAAAAUGAGAAUGGCAUUGUCCUGAAUGACCUAUUUGUUCCAUUCAUCUGGUUUUCAGAACCAAGGUUUUUGACUCGCCUUUGGACUGAUGCCUUAAGCUUUUCAGGGUAAAGACCCAAAGCACGGCCACAAUCUGCACCACUUGCCCCAGGAUUUCCCCAGCAUAGGUAUCUAACCCACCCAUAUCUGCAUCUCCAUACUGGUUCUUGGCCUCUGCAAGCCACUUCUCAAAAGCCUUAUUCUUGCAUGUCAGACCCCAUCAAUGGAACAUUUCUGGUGGCCUCUGAAAACGUCGUGAGUUCCAAUAAAGGUCUCUGGUUGUACCUGAGAAAUGCCAAGUACAAUGAGAACUGUCUUUUCCUGAAAUGUUGCAGAUCAGUUACAGCAAACAGAACAGCGACUGUCAAGGAAAACUGUCACUUUGGGCUCCUUUUUGACCACAGCAGCUAUAUGGAAGCAGCUGCAGCUUCGAUAAGGGCCAUGGCGGUGGGGGGGUGGGGCCGCGGGGAUCUAGGUCACAGGGCAGACCCAACACUGCAGCCCUCAGACUCACCUAAAUCCUGUGCAUCAGGACUCAUCUACUGGAACAUUCUGGAAACUAAAAGAGAACAGACAUCCUAUAGGUUGUGAUCACCACCUUCUUUUACUAUGUGCCAGUGGUUUGUCUCAUUUUAUCUUCACAGGAUCGUUUUAUCAACUCUGUCUUACAUCAGAUUUAGACUGCUUACUUGCCAAAGUCCUCUAUCAAUGGAGAAAGUGACAACCUUG
rnacentral:lncRNA from 1 species